rnacentral:rRNA from 1 species
GACGAACCGUGCGAGCGUUAUUCGGAAUCACUGGGCUUAAAGCGCGUGUAGGCGGGACGGCACGUCGGUCGCUGAAAGCCCCCGGCUCAACCGGGGAACGGGCGCCGAUACGACCGCCCUGGAGGAACGUAGGGGGACCUGGAACUUCCGGUGGAGCGGUGAAAUGCGUUGAGAUCGGAGAGAACACCAACGGCGAAAGCACUCUGCUGGGCCGACACUGACACUGAGAGACGAAAGCUAGGGGAGCAAAUGGG